UACGUAGGGGGCUAGCGUUGUCCGGAAUCAUUGGGCGUAAAGAGCGUGUAGGCGGCCCGGUAAGUCCGCUCUGAAAGUCCGGGGCUCAACCCCGGGAGGCGGGCGGAUACUGUCGGGCUAGAGUCCGGAAGAGGCGAGUGGAAUCCUGGUGUAGCGGUGAAAUGCGCAGAUAUCAGGAGGAACACCAAUGGCGAAGGCAGCUCGCUGGGACGGUACUGACGCUGAGGCGCGAAAGCUAGGGGAGCGAACGGG
rnacentral:rRNA from 1 species